rnacentral:rRNA from 1 species
AUGAAGAAGAUUAAGAGUGGAAAGGAGCUAGUGGAAGAAGUAAGAAAGAUUGAGAAGAACAUCAACGCUGGCAGUACUAUCUCUUCCCUCCUUGAGUUGAGUGUUGUUGGGAUAUCCCUUGAGGUGUGUGAGGUUCCAACACCUUCACAUUCAGCUGAGCAAGAUAGCGAGAGUCCAGAGGAAGAGAUACUUCAGAUCCAAGAAGAAAUUCUUGAAGCCAAGGCACAAGAUGAUCCAGAGCUCGAAUACCCAAAUGAACAGGUUGAAGAUCCAAUGUCUACCACUCCCAAAGAAGUAGAAGAAGCUGUUGUAGUUGAAGAUGAAGAACCAGAAAUUCGUUUUCCUAUUGUCAUACAAGAGUGUGAUGUAGCAGGUUUCUGCUUGUGCACAAAUCAAUACAUGCUGACCAGGUUCGAGGUGACAUCCCUUGGGAUCCCGGUGGAGUCAGAGCAUGGCGAUGAGGAGAAGCAAGGGGCACACAUGAAGAAGAGUGAAGCUGGAGCAUGCACGAGGAAGCAAAGGAGAAGAGCUGCAGCUUAG